rnacentral:rRNA from 1 species
CACGUAGGGGGCGAGCGUUGUCCGGAUUUAUUGGGCGUAAAGAGCUCGUAGGCGGCUUUGUCAGUCGGGUGUGAAACCUCCAGGCUCAACCUGGAGCCGCCACCCGAUACUGCAAUAGCUAGAGUCCGGUAGGGGAGCAUGGAACUCCUGGUGUAGCGGUGAAAUGCGCAGAUAUCAGGAGGAACACCGGUGGCGAAGGCGGAUCUCUGGGCCUGUCCUGACGCUCAGGCGCGAAAGCUAGGGGAGCAAACAGG